AUUCGAGGCUCCAAAAGCACUUGUAUGUUUACAGUCUCUAGAUCUUUCUCUCUGCCGUUACCACUAGGAGCGCCAACCUCAUCUGCGGACCCCAGAGAUGGAUGAGAGGUGCGUGGAGCGGGCCUGGCUCACUCCGGAGUGGUCCAGGCUGUCCUAGAUCCAGCAGCCCCAGCAAUGAGAGCCAGCCCGGCCACAGCUACUGCAGCCCGGAGAGGCUUGUUUCAGCCUUCCCCUCCCUGCUCCUUCGGUCAUAACCUGGACCGUUGAGAAGUUGAAGCAGAUGCUCUCCUGCAAAGAUUCUGGACGCUACCCACAACUCAUUAUCAGUAGACGUAUCAGAGACAUCACACCUGGACAGGUCCCAUUCUCUACAAGGUAUGUGUGGAGGCACAGGGGAACCUGGGCUCUGUUGAGUUAGAGCCCAACCUGCAGGGCGACGUGCCACCCGCCUCCAACUCGAGAUGAGCCGGAUAAAACUUGUGGGGUGCUUCCUUCUAGAUUCACAAGGUCUGAUUUUACCUUUGUAUGAGAUUUACUACUAGAAUUUGGGCUUCCCUAGUGGCUCAGAUGGCAGAGAAUCUGCUUGCAAGGCAGGAGGUCCAGGUUUGACCCCUGAUCAGGAAGAUCCCCUGGAGAAGGAAAUGGCAACCCACUCCAGUAUUCUUACCUGGAGAAUUCCAUGGAUAGAGGAGCCUGGUGGACUACAGUCCAUGGGGUUAUAAUUCUUAUUUUGUGACAAGGUCUUAUUUUUC
rnacentral:lncRNA from 1 species